UUUUUAAUUGAGAUAGACCAAGUCUUUUAGUAAAAUGAGGAUGA
rnacentral:tRNA from 4 species